AGAGUUUGAUCCUGGCUCAGGACGAACGCUGGCGGCGUGCCUAACACAUGCAAGUCGAACGAGGUCCAUGCAGUGGCAACACUGCGGACGACCUAGUGGCGAACGGGUGAGUAACACGUGAGGAACCUGCCCCGAAGACCGGGAUAACCCUCCGAAAGGAGAGUUAAUACCGGAUACCCCCACCGGAUCGCAUGAUCUGGUGAGGAAAUGGAUUCCGCUUCGGGAGGGCCUCGCGGCCUAUCAGCUUGUUGGUGGGGUAACGGCCCACCAAGGCAUCGACGGGUAGCUGGUCUGAGAGGACGAUCAGCCACACUGGGACUGAGACACGGCCCAGACUCCUACGGGAGGCAGCAGUGGGGAAUCUUGCGCAAUGGGCGAAAGCCUGACGCAGCAACGCCGCGUGGGGGAUGAAGGCUCUCGGGUUGUAAACCCCUUUCAGCAGGGACGAAUCAAGACGGUACCUGCAGAAGAAGCCCCGGCUAACUACGUGCCAGCAGCCGCGGUAACACGUAGGGGGCAAGCGUUGUCCGGAUUUAUUGGGCGUAAAGAGCUCGUAGGCGGCUGAGUAAGUCGGGUGUUAAAUCCCCAGGCUCAACCUGGGACACCACCCGAUACUGCUCUGGCUAGAGUCCGGUAGGGGAGCGUGGAAUUCCUGGUGUAGCGGUGAAAUGCGCAGAUAUCAGGAGGAACACCAGCGGCGAAGGCGGCGCUCUGGGCCGGAACUGACGCUGAGGAGCGAAAGCGUGAGUAGCAAACAGGAUUAGAUACCCUGGUAGUCCACGCCGUAAACGUUGGGCACUAGGUGUGGGGUCUAUUCAACGGACUCCGUGCCGUAGCUAACGCAUUAAGUGCCCCGCCUGGGGAGUACGGCCGCAAGGCUAAAACUCAAAGGAAUUGACGGGGGCCCGCACAAGCAGCGGAGCAUGUUGCUUAAUUCGAGGCAACGCGAAGAACCUUACCUGGGUUUGACAUGUAGAGAAAAGCCAUAGAGAUAUGGUGUCCUUCGGGGUUCUACACAGGUGGUGCAUGGUUGUCGUCAGCUCGUGUCGUGAGAUGUUGGGUUAAGUCCCGCAACGACCGCAACCCUUGUCCUAUGUUGCCAGCACGUCAUGGUGGGGACUCGUAGGAGACUGCCGGGGUCAACUCGGAGGAAGGUGGGGACGACGUCAAAUCAUCAUGCCCCUUAUAUCCAGGGCUGCAA
rnacentral:rRNA from 1 species